CCCGGGUACAAAUAUCAUAUUUGUUCACUUGUGGAGAGACCUACCCAUAGAGAACACUCAACUUUUGAAUUAAGCCUAUGCCUAGGCGUGAAUUCGGUUGAAGAGUUACAAGAGUGGCUUCUAAAGACUAAAGACACUGGAGUGCCAUGGAGGGUCAGCAUAACAACACCCAGGAAAGGACAUACAAUUACUCUCAAGGCUGAUUACAGAUGCCGUCACAAGAUUUAUAGUAGAUCCCCCAACAAGGGAACAUCAAAAAACACUUGCUGGCCCCCCAAAAUGAGUAUCACUCUGAUACGCUGUGUCACCGGAAAGGGGAGGCUGAGCAGGUGUGUGAAUGGUUUAUUUACAUAUACAAGCCUGCCCAUUGUGGUUAAUCAUUCUCUAACUUUGAUUUAGCUGAACACAAUCAAAUGUUUGUUCUAGGAGCAAGGACCCACAUCUUCCUAUGUAUCCAGCCAUGGUGUGUGUAUCCAAUGUCCACAACCACAAUCUCUUUGUGGCUGAUGCACUUAAACACCGGGAUAUUGAAGUCAAAGCCACAGAGACCUUGUCAAGGCUAUUUGAGAUUGGGCACUCCCUUUUAUCAGAUUUGGAUGUGCUAAAAAGUGAUCUGCAGAUAAAAAGUUCUGUUACCGGUACAUAUGUCUUAUACCCAACAUCUUCUCUCUUUCUUAAACAUAUUUAAGAUUGUAUCAGAAAGACUUUAGGAAAGAGUAUGGAGUGCAGAGUGGGCCUUCCAUGGUGUCAGCACUAGAGAGGCAGAGAGUACAACCUCAAAUGCAGCAACACCUGGAAGCACCAGGCUGCAGUGGUGCAGAACUUUGGAUGCUUCUCUAGCAACUUCCUUCCCACAACACCAGAGAUGCGGGCUGAGCUCUUUAAAAUAACAUCAGGAGCUAACAUUUCCCUGGAGUUCCUGCAGCCCCUGAGGGACACAGGUCAGCCAAGAGUAUGAUUCUAACUAUUAGCUACAGCUCAUUCC
ensembl:lncRNA